AAAGUCGUAACAAGGUUUCCGUAGGUGAACCUGCGGAAGGAUCAUUAAAGUUAUAGCCCCCUGGCCUUCUGGCUAGGGUCUUCUAUACCACCCUUUGUUUAUUACACCUUUGUUGCUUUGGCAGGCCUGCCCUCGGGCUGCUGGCUCCGGCCGGCGAGCGCCUGCCAGAGGACCUAAACUCUGUUUGUCUAUAAUGUCUGAGUACUAUAUAAUAGUUAAAACUUUCAACAACGGAUCUCUUGGUUCUG
rnacentral:misc_RNA from 1 species